AACGAACGCUGGCGGCGCGCCUAAUACAUGCAAGUCGAGCGAGAAGACGUAGCAAUACGUUUGUAAAGCGGCGAACGGGUGAGGAAUACAUGGGUAACCUACCCUCGAGUGGGGAAUAACUAGCCGAAAGGUUAGCUAAUACCGCGUACGCUCCUUGGACUUCGGUUCAGGGAGGAAAGCGAUACCGUGGGUAUCGCGCUCUUGGAUGGGCUCAUGUCCUAUCAGCUUGUUGGUGAGGUAACGGCUCACCAAGGCUUCGACGGGUAGCUGGUCUGAGAGGACAAUCAGCCACACUGGCACUGCGACACGGGCCAGACUCCUACGGGAGGCAGCAGUAAGGAAUAUUGCGCAAUGGGCGAAAGCCUGACGCAGCGACGCCGCGUGGGGGAUGAAGGUCUUCGGAUUGUAAACCCCUUUCGGGAGGGAAGAUGGAACGAGCAAUCGUUCGGACGGUACCUCCAGAAG
rnacentral:rRNA from 1 species